UGAAAUGAUGAUAGUUAUUGUGCCCCAAUCUUAAUUUGUACCACAUAGUGUAAAAUGGUGAAUUACAUUCUUAUCUGAUAU
rnacentral:snoRNA from 1 species